CGAUAUCGACGAGUUGAUCAUGGCUCAGAACGAACGCUGGCGGCAGGCCUAACACAUGCAAGUCGAGCGGACCUUUCGGGGUCAGCGGCGGACGGGUUAGUAACGCGUGGGAACGUGCCCGAAGGUACGGAAUAGUCCCGGGAAACUGGGGGUAAUACCGUAUGUGCCCUAUGGGGGAAAGAUUUAUCGCCUUCGGAUCGGCCCGCGUUGGAUUAGGUAGUUGGUGGGGUAAUGGCCUACCAAGCCGACGAUCCAUAGCUGGUUUGAGAGGAUGAUCAGCAACACUGGGACUGAGACACGGCCCAGACUCCUACGGGAGGCAGCAGUGGGGAAUCUUAGACAAUGGGGGAAACCCUGAUCUAGCCAUGCCGCGUGAGCGAUGAAGGCCUUAGGGUUGUAAAGCUCUUUCAGCUGGGAAGAUAAUGACGGUACCAGCAGAAGAAGCCCCGGCUAACUCCGUG
rnacentral:rRNA from 1 species